UUAAGCGACUAAGCGUACACGGUGGAUGCCCUGGCAGUCAGAGGCGAUGAAGGACGUGCUAAUCUGCGAUAAGCGUCGGUGAGGUGAUAUGAACCGUUAUAACCGGCGAUUUCCGAAUGGGGAAACCCAGUGUGUUUCGACACACUAUCAUUAACUGAAUCCAUAGGUUAAUGAGGCGAACCGGGGGAACUGAAACAUCUAAGUACCCCGAGGAAAAGAAAUCAACCGAGAUUCCCCCAGUAGCGGCGAGCGAACGGGGAGGAGCCCAGAGCCUGAAUCAGUGUGUGUGUUAGUGGAAGCGUCUGGAAAGGCGUGCGAUACAGGGUGACAGCCUCGUACACAAAAAUGCACAUAUUGUGAGCUCGAUGAGUAGGGCGGGACACGUGGUAUCCUGUCUGAAUAUGGGGGGACCAUCCUCCAAGGCUAAAUACUCCUGACUGACCGAUAGUGAACCAGUACCGUGAGGGAAAGGCGAAAAGAACCCCGGCGAGGGGAGUGAAAAAGAACCUGAAACCGUGUACGUACAAGCAGUGGGAGCCUCUUAAUGGGGUGACUGCGUACCUUUUGUAUAAUGGGUCAGCGACUUAUAUUCUGUAGCAAGGUUAACCGAAUAGGGGAGCCGAAGGGAAACCGAGUCUUAACUGGGCGUUAAGUUGCAGGGUAUAGACCCGAAACCCGGUGAUCUAGCCAUGGGCAGGUUGAAGGUUGGGUAACACUAACUGGAGGACCGAACCGACUAAUGUUGAAAAAUUAGCGGAUGACUUGUGGCUGGGGGUGAAAGGCCAAUCAAACCGGGAGAUAGCUGGUUCUCCCCGAAAGCUAUUUAGGUAGCGCCUCGUGAAUUCAUCUCCGGGGGUAGAGCACUGUUUCGGCAAGGGGGUCAUCCCGACUUACCAACCCGAUGCAAACUGCGAAUACCGGAGAAUGUUAUCACGGGAGACACACGGCGGGUGCUAACGUCCGUCGUGAAGAGGGAAACAACCCAGACCGCCAGCUAAGGUCCCAAAGUCAUGGUUAAGUGGGAAACGAUGUGGGAAGGCCCAGACAGCCAGGAUGUUGGCUUAGAAGCAGCCAUCAUUUAAAGAAAGCGUAAUAGCUCACUGGUCGAGUCGGCCUGCGCGGAAGAUGUAACGGGGCUAAACCAUGCACCGAAGCUGCGGCAGCGACACUAUGUGUUGUUGGGUAGGGGAGCGUUCUGUAAGCCUGUGAAGGUGGCCUGUGAGGGUUGCUGGAGGUAUCAGAAGUGCGAAUGCUGACAUAAGUAACGAUAAAGCGGGUGAAAAGCCCGCUCGCCGGAAGACCAAGGGUUCCUGUCCAACGUUAAUCGGGGCAGGGUGAGUCGACCCCUAAGGCGAGGCCGAAAGGCGUAGUCGAUGGGAAACAGGUUAAUAUUCCUGUACUUGGUGUUACUGCGAAGGGGGGACGGAGAAGGCUAUGUUGGCCGGGCGACGGUUGUCCCGGUUUAAGCGUGUAGGCUGGUUUUCCAGGCAAAUCCGGAAAACCAAGGCUGAGGCGUGAUGACGAGGCACUACGGUGCUGAAGUGACAAAUGCCCUGCUUCCAGGAAAAGCCUCUAAGCAUCAGGUAACAUCAAAUCGUACCCAAAACCGACACAGGUGGUCAGGUAGAGAAUACCAAGGCGCUUGAGAGAACUCGGGUGAAGGAACUAGGCAAAAUGGUGCCGUAACUUCGGGAGAAGGCACGCUGAUAUGUAGGUGAAGCGACUCGCUCGUGGAGCUGAAAUCAGUCGAAGAUACCAGCUGGCUGCAACUGUUUAUUAAAAACACAGCACUGUGCAAACACGAAAGUGGACGUAUACGGUGUGACGCCUGCCCGGUGCCGGAAGGUUAAUUGAUGGGGUUAGCGGUAACGCGAAGCUCUUGAUCGAAGCCCCGGUAAACGGCGGCCGUAACUAUAACGGUCCUAAGGUAGCGAAAUUCCUUGUCGGGUAAGUUCCGACCUGCACGAAUGGCGUAAUGAUGGCCAGGCUGUCUCCACCCGAGACUCAGUGAAAUUGAACUCGCUGUGAAGAUGCAGUGUACCCGCGGCAAGACGGAAAGACCCCGUGAACCUUUACUAUAGCUUGACACUGAACAUUGAGCCUUGAUGUGUAGGAUAGGUGGGAGGCUUUGAAGUGUGGACGCCAGUCUGCAUGGAGCCGACCUUGAAAUACCACCCUUUAAUGUUUGAUGUUCUAACGUUGGCCCGUAAUCCGGGUUGCGGACAGUGUCUGGUGGGUAGUUUGACUGGGGCGGUCUCCUCCUAAAGAGUAACGGAGGAGCACGAAGGUUGGCUAAUCCUGGUCGGACAUCAGGAGGUUAGUGCAAUGGCAUAAGCCAGCUUGACUGCGAGCGUGACGGCGCGAGCAGGUGCGAAAGCAGGUCAUAGUGAUCCGGUGGUUCUGAAUGGAAGGGCCAUCGCUCAACGGAUAAAAGGUACUCCGGGGAUAACAGGCUGAUACCGCCCAAGAGUUCAUAUCGACGGCGGUGUUUGGCACCUCGAUGUCGGCUCAUCACAUCCUGGGGCUGAAGUAGGUCCCAAGGGUAUGGCUGUUCGCCAUUUAAAGUGGUACGCGAGCUGGGUUUAGAACGUCGUGAGACAGUUCGGUCCCUAUCUGCCGUGGGCGCUGGAGAACUGAGGGGGGCUGCUCCUAGUACGAGAGGACCGGAGUGGACGCAUCACUGGUGUUCGGGUUGUCAUGCCAAUGGCACUGCCCGGUAGCUAAAUGCGGAAGAGAUAAGUGCUGAAAGCAUCUAAGCACGAAACUUGCCCCGAGAUGAGUUCUCCCUGACUCCUUGAGGGUCCUGAAGGAACGUUGAAGACGACGACGUUGAUAGGCCGGGUGUGUAAGCGCAGCGAUGCGUUGAGCUAACCGGUACUAAUGAACCGUGAGGCUUAACCUU
rnacentral:rRNA from 3 species